GUGAAUCAUCAAAUCUUUGAACGCAAAUUGCACUCUCCUCUGAGCGUAUGCCUGUUUGAGGGUCAGCCUAUAAAAAUUGACAUCGUUGCUGUUUCGCGGUGGCGUUCGUCGGAAAUUGGGUUAUCUUAAACCUUUUGGUUUAAGCGACUUAACCUUUUCUUUUUGUUUCCAUGAUUGUUUCUAAGAUUUAUUUCUUUACACGUUUAUGGUAUCGAUUUUUAUUAGACGUGGCCGUCAUAUCGUAUCGCGUCCAUAUUUUUUUGCUAACUGUCCUCAGA
rnacentral:misc_RNA from 1 species